UUUUAGAGUUUGAUCCUGGCUCAGAUUGAACGCUGGCGGCAGGCCUAACACAUGCAAGUCGAGCGGUAACAGAGAGAAGCUUGCUUCUCUGCUGACGAGCGGCGGACGGGUGAGUAAUACUUGGGAAUUUGCCUUUAGGCGGGGGACAACCACGGGAAACUGUGGCUAAUACCGCAUAAUGUCUACGGACCAAAGUGGGGGACCUUCGGGCCUCACACCUAAAGAUGAGCCCAAGCGGGAUUAGCUAGUUGGUGGGGUAAAGGCUCACCAAGGCUACGAUCCCUAGCUGUUCUGAGAGGAUGAUCAGCCACACUGGGACUGAGACACGGCCCAGACUCCUACGGGAGGCAGCAGUGGGGAAUAUUGCACAAUGGGGGAAACCCUGAUGCAGCCAUGCCGCGUGUGUGAAGAAGGCCUUCGGGUUGUAAAGCACUUUCAGCGACGAGGAAGGGUGUUGUAUUAAUAGUGCAGCACAGAGACGUUAUGCGCAGAAGAGCACCGC
rnacentral:rRNA from 1 species